GACGAACGCUGGCGGCGUGCUUAACACAUGCAAGUCGAACGAAGUGGCGAACGGGUGAGUAACGCGUAAUCAACCUGCCCUUCAGAGGGGGACAACAGUUGGAAACGACUGCUAAUACCGCAUACUGAAGGAGGGGAUUGCGUCUGAUUAGCUAGUUGGAGGGGGAACGGCCGACCAAGGCGAUGAUCAGUAGCCGGGCUGAGGGGGUGAACGGCCACAUUGGGACUGAGAAACGGGCCAGACUCCUAAGGGAGGGAGCAGUGGGGAAUCUUCCGAAAUGGACGAAAGUCUUACGGAGCCACGCCGCGUGAGUGAUGACGGCCUUCGGGUUGUAAAGCUCUGUUAAUCGGGACGCGGUACCGGAAUAGAAAGCAACGGCUAACUACGUGCCAGCAGCCGCGGUAAUUC
rnacentral:rRNA from 1 species